rnacentral:rRNA from 1 species
GACGAACGCUGGCGGCGUGCCUAAUACAUGCAAGUCGAGCGGACUGAUGGGGAGCUUGCUCCCCUGACGUCAGCGGCGGACGGGUGAGUAACACGUGGGCAACCUGCCUCACAGACUGGGAUAACUCCGGGAAACCGGGGCUAAUACCGGAUAAUCAAAGGAACCGCAUGGUUCCCUUGUAAAAGUUGGGUUUUACCUAACACUGUGAGAUGGGCCCGCGGCGCAUUAGCUUGUUGGUGAGGUAGUGGCUCACCAAGGCGACGAUGCGUAGCCGACCUGAGAGGGUGAUCGGCCACACUGGGACUGAGACACGGCCCAGACUCCUACGGGAGGCAGCAGUAGGGAAUCAUCCGCAAUGGGCGAAAGCCUGACGGUGCAACGCCGCGUGAGUGAUGACGGUCUUCGGAUUGUAAAGCUCUGUUGUCAGGGAAGAACAAGUGCCGUGCGAAUAGAGCGGCACCUUGACGGUACCUGACCAGAAAGCCCCGGCUAACUACGUGCCAGCAGCCGCGGUAAUACGUAGGGGGCAAGCGUUGUCCGGAAUUAUUGGGCGUAAAGCGCGCGCAGGCGGUUCUUUAAGUCUGAUGUGAAAGCCCACGGCUCAACCGUGGAGGGUCAUUGGAAACUGGGGAACUUGAGUGUAGGAGAGGAAAGUGGAAUACCAAGUGUAGCGGUGAAAUGCGUAGAUAUUUGGUGGAACACCAGUGGCGAAGGCGAC